rnacentral:lncRNA from 1 species
AAAGGAAUUGGCUGAGGUCCCCUGUUUGGGUUUGAAUCUGUCCUAUUGUUAUCAUGUCCAGGGACUUGUUUCUCUUAACGAGCUAGGCUGGCUGAGCUGGCAUCUGUUAAGCUGAAUUAUCUGUGCAGUUUAUAGACCAGCUAUAGGAGUUACAGAAAAUUACACCUGGGUUAGGAUAACAAUAAAGAAUAGAAGGAUCUCUUUUCAUGGUAGUAGGAUGAAUGAAAUUUGUGUUACACUUAAGCGUCUCCACAUAUCUGACACAGAACUUGGCUGAAGCACAUUCCAGGUCUGCUCCAGUAGUCCAAAUCACAUCUCUUGGGAGUGGAGAGCCACAGAAAGAUUUGGUCAACACUGCUUCCAUAGUCUUUUGGAAAAUUUUCUUCAGUUUAUUGAAGAGACUUCAGUUGCCUCAAACCUUUUAAUUUUAGCUCAUUUAAAUAUAUCAGCCAGUUUCAAGACUUGAUAAAGAUGAAUGCAAUUAAUCUUAGAGGCCUCAUAAAUGUUAGAGAAAGAGCUUUUAUUUUGAAAAGACAGUAGAGCCAAAUUAAAAUCCUAUCUGGUAACCCUCUGAAAAUACAAAUGUGGGAAUUUCUGACUGUAAUUAAUUUUGUAUGGGGAUUAUAAUGACUUACAUUUACAUACAACAAAGAUUGCUAAAGAACUGGUGCAACAGAACUUAUGUGUGUGUGUAUAUUUGUGUAUGUAUACAUGGUUGUUACUGAGUUUCCAUUUUCACUAAGUUUCCAUCCCUCCAAUAACGCAAAAGAAAUUAACAAUUCAUCACAUAAUUGAUCACUUGGUGUGAUUCUUGAGGCUGCCCUUUCCAGGGCCAGGAGUUAGGCUUUGAUGAUCCCUAUGAGUCCCUUCCAGCUAGGAAUAUUCUGUGAUCACUGCCAACAAAAUCAGUGGGAAAUCUAAACCUGGUGGGCACUUUUCCAGCUGAAUGUGAGGUUGGCUGGAAUGGCAGAUCCAAAAAGAGGAACUACCAAACACAGUAGGUGGAUAUCAUUUGAUUGAGAGCUAAACUUUUUUUUUAUUAUUUUUAUUUUAAAGAAAUAAUGUCUAAAGCCAUUUAGUUAGCACAAAACAGGACAGUACUCUUACGUUUUGGUUUAUUUUAGAAAUAAAGGAUGGUCUUCUCAAGAAAAAUAUACUUUU